rnacentral:rRNA from 1 species
UACGUAGGUGGCGAGCGUUGUCCGGAUUUACUGGGUGUAAAGGGCGUGUAGGCGGGAUAGCAAGUCAGGUGUGAAAUAUCAAGGCUUAACCUUGGGGCUGCAUUUGAAACUGUUAUUCUUGAGUGUCGGAGAGGAAAGCGGAAUUCCUAGUGUAGCGGUGAAAUGCGUAGAUAUUAGGAGGAACACCAGUGGCGAAGGCGGCUUUCUGGACGAUAACUGACACUGAGGCGCGAAAGCGUGGGGAGCAAACAGGAUUAGAUACCCCCGUAGUCCCU